rnacentral:SRP_RNA from 10 species
GAAGGAUGGAGGCUUCACAAGCAGAGAGCUGCGUGAGGCAGGCUUCACAAGCAGAGAGC